UGGGGAAUUUUGGACAAUGGGCGAAAGCCUGAUCCAGCAAUGCCGCGUGUGUGAAGAAGGCCUUCGGGUUGUAAAGCACUUUUGUCCGGAAAGAAAUCCUUGGCUCUAAUACAGUCGGGGGAUGACGGUACCGGAAGAAUAAGCACCGGCUAACUACGUGCCAGCAGCCGCGGUAAUACGUAGGGUGCAAGCGUUAAUCGGAAUUACUGGGCGUAAAGCGUGCGCAGGCGGUUUGCUAAGACCGAUGUGAAAUCCCCGGGCUCAACCUGGGAACUGCAUUGGUGACUGGCAGGCUAGAGUAUGGCAGAGGGGGGUAGAAUUCCACGUGUAGCAGUGAAAUGCGUAGAGAUGUGGAGGAAUACCGAUGGCGAAGGCAGCCCCCUGGGGCCAAUACUGACGCUCAUGCACGAAAGCGUGGGGGAGCAAAACAGGAUUAGAUACCCUGGUAGUCCACGCCCUAAACGAUGUCAACUAGUUGUUGGGGAUUCAUUUCCUUAGUAACGUAGCUAACGCGUGAAGUUGACCGCCUGGGGAGUACGGUCGCAAGAUUAAAACUCAAAUGAAUUGACGGGGUCAUAGCUGUUUCCU
rnacentral:rRNA from 1 species